GACGAACGCUGGCGGCGUGCCUAAUACAUGCAAGUAGGACGCAGUUGCGAACGGGAGAGUAACGCGUCGGUAACUACCUAGUAAAGGGGGAUAACUAUUGUAAACGAUAGCUAAUACCGCAUACUAGUAGAUGGACCUGCGUUGUAUUAGCUAGUAGGUAGGGGAAUGGCCUACCUAGGCAACGGUACAUAGCCGAGCUGGGAAGGUUGUCGGCCACACGGGGACUGAGGCACCGGCCAGACUCCUACGGGAGGCAGCAGGAGGGAAUCUUCGGAAAUGGGGGGAACCCUGACCGAGGAACUCCGCGGGAGGGAAGAAGGUUCUUGGAUCGUAAAGCUCUGUUGUUAAGGAAGCGGUACUUAACCAGAAAGGGACGGCUAACUACGUGCCAGCAGCCGCGGUAAUAC
rnacentral:rRNA from 1 species